rnacentral:ncRNA from 1 species
UGCUCUCGACCAAUUUGGCGGGAAGCACUGAUUGGUUUUCUGGUUUCAAACACCACUUGGAUCGCACCCGACCGAGAUGGUAAG